rnacentral:ncRNA from 1 species
GCGCGCCGCACCUGCCCCGUUCGCGGGGCCGGGGAAGCCGUUCGAGCAGCGUCGUGUCGCGGUCCGGGACUGUCCUCAGUCCCGGGUCGUCUCGGCGCGGUUCCGAGCGGUCGCUCCCUCUCGAGGUGCCGCGGGUCAGCGGCUGACGCCAGCCACCUUCCCGACCCGUCUUGAAACACGGACCAAGGAGUCUAACAUGUGCGCGAGCCGCGGGGCAGUACGAAACCCGUAAGGCGAAAUGAAGGUGAACGCCGGCGCGGUCCGGCGGAGGUUGGAUCCCGUCCCGUCGGGGCGGGCGCACUACCGGCCGAUCUUCUCCGCCCUGUCGGCGAGGUCGAGCGAGAGCGUGCAAGUCGGGACCCGAAAGAUGGUGAACUAUGCCUGAGGAGGUUGAAGCCAGAGGAAACUCUGGUGGAGGACCGUAGCGAUUCUGACGUGCAAAUCGAUCGUCAAAUUUGGGUAUAGGGGCGAAAGACUAAUCGAACCGUCUAGUAGCUGGUUCCCUUCGAAGUUUCCCUCAGGAUAGCUGGCGCUCUGUCGCAGUUUUAUCUGGUAAAGCGAAUGAUUAGAGGUCUUGGGGGCGAAACGCCCUCAACCUAUUCUCAAACUUUAAAUUGGUAAGAAGCCCGACUCGCUCGUUUGGAGCCGGGCAUGGAAUGCGAGUGCCAAGUGGGCCACUCUUGGUAAGCAGGACUGGCGAUGCGGGAUGAACCGAACGCCGGGUUAAGGCGCCCGACGCGACGCUCAU